UUUGAGCUCUCAGGAGUUGGAUUUGAGUUCUUUUGAUUUAAAUUUAUUAUAAAAAUUUGAUGAAUUGAUUUGUCAAAUUUUUAGUAUCAAUUUUUAAAACAAUCAUUAAAACCCCCAUAAAAUGGAACUUUUUGACUUUUCGAUGCAGCCAAGUCAACCAAACUGACUUCAUUUUCUUGCAUGGACUGAAAACCAUUCUGGAAGCCUCCUGAAGGAUGUUCCAUCUCCCCUGCUGGCAAAGAGGCACCUCCAGACAUUUCUCUGGCUGAAUUUGGUAGCAGAUGCACAACUGUGUUGGCUUUCAGCAAGUGAGGGUUCCUAACCCAAAAAUCACUGCCUGGAAUAUUGAGAAAUUUAAAAUCUUUUCAGAAAUUUAUUUUCUAAUGCUGCCUUUUUUUGCCCCUUUAAUCAAAACAGUCACAGAGGAUGUGUCAGAGGAUGCACACGGAGCUGCUGCUUGCCUUGAUGAUAUCUUUAAUAUUUGAGUUCAACAAAUGCUGCUGUCGUGUUAGAAGGAGCUAGAAAUGAAAACAACCCCAAAACCACCUGCUGUUCUCAUCCUUAUCUGUGCUCUCCCUCAAGCCAUGGUUUUGGCAUAAUACAGCUGCAUUUCUCAUGAUAAUAAAUUGUUAAGUACAGAA